rnacentral:rRNA from 1 species
GGAAUCGUACCCGAAACCGACACAGGUGGUCAGGUCGAGUAGACCAAGGCGCUUGAGAGAACUCUGCUGAAGGAACUAGGCAAAAUGGUACCGUAACUUCGGGAGAAGGUACGCUGUUGUUGGUGAUGGAACUCGCUUCCUGAGCUGACGACAGCCGCAGAAACCAGGCCGCUGCAACUGUUUAUUAAAAACAUAGCACUCUGCAAACACGAAAGUGGACGUAUAGGGUGUGAUGCCUGCCCGGUGCUGGAAGGUUAAUUGAUGGGGUUAGCGUAAGCGAAGCUCUUGAUCGAAGCCCCAGUAAACGGCGGCCGUAACUAUAACGGUCCUAAGGUAGCGAAAUUCCUUGUCGGGUAAGUUCCGACCUGCACGAAUGGCAUAAUGAUGGCGGCGCUGUCUCCAGCAGAGGCUCAGUGAAAUCGAAAUCGCUGUGAAGAUGCAGUGUACCCGCGGCUAGACGGAAAGACCCCGUGAACCUUUACUGCAGCUUGACACUGAACUUUGACCUUACUUGUGUAGGAUAGGUGGGAGGCUUUGAAGCUGGAACGCUAGUUCCAGUGGAGCCGUCCUUGAAAUACCACCCUGGUAAUGUUGAGGUUCUAACUCUGUCCCGUGAUCCGGGACGAGGACCGUGUCUGGUGGGUAGUUUGACUGGGGCGGUCUCCUCCUAAAGAGUAACGGAGGAGUACGAAGGUGCGCUCAGCGUGGUCGGAAAUCACGCGUAGAGUAUAAAGGCAAAAGCGCGCUUAACUGCGAGACCCACAAGUCGAGCAGGUACGAAAGUAGGUCUUAGUGAUCCGGUGGUUCUGUAUGGAAGGGCCAUCGCUCAACGGAUAAAAGGUACUCUGGGGAUAACAGGCUGAUACCGCCCAAGAGUUCAUAUCGACGGCGGUGUUUGGCACCUCGAUGUCGGCUCAUCUCAUCCUGGGGCUGAAGCAGGUCCCAAGGGUAUGGCUGUUCGCCAUUUAAAGAGGUACGCGAGCUGGGUUUAGAACGUCGUGAGACAGUUCGGUCCCUAUCUACCGUGGGCGCUGGAAAUUUGAGAGGAUCUGCUCCUAGUACGAGAGGACCAGAGUGGACGAACCUCUGGUGUACCGGUUGUGACGCCAGUCGCAUCGCCGGGUAGCUAUGUUCGGAAGGGAUAACCGCUGAAAGCAUCUAAGCGGGAAGCCUACCUCAAGAUAAGAUUUCCCUAGGACUUUAUGUCCUCUAAAGAGCCGUUCGAGACUAGGACGUUGAUAGGUUGGAUGUGGAAGCAUAGUGAUAUGUGAAGCUGACCAAUACUAAUUGCUCGUGAGGCUUGACUAU